UCACUUACCUGGGUGGGGUCAAUAGACGAUCAAUAAGGUCUAUGGCCUAGGGUACUGACCUCCAUUGCACAUGGGAGGGGCAUUACUCUAAGGUCUGUCCUAUGGACAGAACCUACAUCAUAAUUUGUGGUAGUGGGGGUUUGCGUCCGCGCAGCCCUCUC